rnacentral:rRNA from 1 species
UACGUAGGUGACAAGCGUUGUCCGGAUUUACUGGGCGUAAAGAGCGCGCAGGCGGUCGUUCAAGUCAAGUGUGAAAUCCCGCGGCUCAACUGCGGGUCUGCAGUCGAUACGGGCAGGCUAGAGUUCGGUAGGGGAGACUGGAAUUCCUGGUGUAGCGGUGAAAUGCGCAGAGUAUCAGGAGGAACACCGGUGGCGAAGGCGGUUCUCUGGGCAUUACCUGACGGCUGGAGGAGCGAAAGUGUGGGGAGCGAACAGGAUUAGACUACCCUAG